GGAGACCUCAGCUCAUAGGUGACAGGUGUUUCUGAUUACACCAGAUGAGAUAUAUGGAGUGCUGAAGGGUGAAAAGAAGAUGGAAAAGCUCCUGAUAAAGAGGAAAUAAAGCUGGAUGAGGAUUAUCUCAAAAGGUCAUUGCUGAAAAAGAUGACUCCCUAAAAUCAUGAUGAAAAGUUACUCUAACUGCUGUGCUUUGUUGGAAGACUUCUUGAGGGGAUGAUGCAUUUCUACUUGGAGUAGAUCUAUCGAAUGGAAAUUCUCCUUUUCCAGAAAUAGAAUGGAUAUCUACACUAAACUUUUCUCUUUCACUGUGCAAUAUCUAUGAGGAUUAUACUACCUAGGAAAAACUAUGUUUAUUAGAAUGUCUAGUGUGUUGCCUUCUUCACAUAUUGCUGACCCCAAGACAGAGCAAAAGGCUUCAACCUGAUGGUAAUGAUUUAAAUAAUGAAUGUAAUUUAUGAGGAUGAACACAGAGCUUACACAAAUGCACACGCAUUGUCGUUUGCCUAACAACCAGGGAAGCUUAAAUGAAUACCACAACACUGCCUGCUCCCUUGGCUUAAGGGCUCACCGUCAGGGUAAACAGCUCAGUUUAUGCAAGAAUGGCAUUUGAACUUUCAAAAUCCAACAGUGUUAUAUUUUUUGUUUAUAUAUAUAUUUUUUACUUUCUCCCAUGUAAGAUCCC
rnacentral:lncRNA from 7 species